rnacentral:rRNA from 1 species
GUGGGGAAUAUUGGGCAAUGGGGGAAACCCUGACCCAGCAACGCCGCGUGAAGGAAGAAGGUUUUCGGAUCGCAAACUUCUAUCCUUGGUGAAGAUAAUGACGGUAGCCAAGAAGGAAGCCCCGGCUAACUACGUGCCAGCAGCCGCGGUAAUACGUAGGGGGCAAGCGUUGUCCGGAAUGAUUGGGCGUAAAGGGCGCGUAGGCGGCCUGGUAAGUCUGGAGUGAAAGUCCUGCUUUUAAGGUGGGAAUUGCUUUGGAUACUGUCGGGCUUGAGUGCAGGAGAGGUAAGCGGAAUUCCCGGUGUAGCGGUGAAAUGCGUAGAGAUCGGGAGGAACACCAGUGGCGAAGGCGGCUUACUGGACUGUAACUGACGCUGAGGCGCGAAAGUGUGGGGAGCAAACAGGAUUAGAUACCCGUGUAGUCC